GAUUUCUUACCUAUAUAUUAAGAAAAUAUCUUGAAAAUAUUUAAAAGAAGUUGGAUCCUUCUAGAAAUUU
rnacentral:tRNA from 1 species